ensembl:lncRNA
AGCCUCGCCUGGCAGCCUCACCGGACCUGUCAGACCGCUCUUAUCAGCUGGACGGUCUCUUUGGGAGACUCAGUGUCACCAGUAAUCCCGCUUGUUGAUACCAGUGUGGUCAAGGUUUAAAACCAGAGUCCUCCAAGUCCUCCAAGUCCUCCAUGUCCUCCAUGUUCUCCGCUGCUCUUUCGGCUCUCGCUCUCUCGCUGGCCGGAAUGUAGUUGUCCUCGAUGAAGCCGUCGUCGUCUUCCUCGCUCACGGGAGGGACGCGGUGAGGGUUGAUCCCACGUGCCCCGUGCACGUCAAAUUCCACCUCCAGCCCUGGAAGCAACAAGAGUUAUGAGGCAUGACAACCAUCUAAAGAAUGUAGGAAGAGUGAGAGUGUCAUCGCGAAAAGGAUCCGCUGCCUGGAUCCUUUGUAUGCAGAAGUCAUAAUGGAGUACAAGCCGUCGGGAGCUCGGGAGGAUAUCGUCCACAACAGGAACAGUGUGGCACAAACAGGAAGUCCCACAUACUAACCUUCCUCUGCGGGUCGAGCUGACACAAA